GAUGAAGAACGCAGCGAAAUGCGAUACGUAAUGUGAAUUGCAGAAUUCAGUGAAUCAUCGAGUCUUUGAACGCACAUUGCGCCCCCUGGUAUUCCGGGGGGCAUGCCUGUCCGAGCGUCAUUGCUGCCCUCAAGCACGGCUUGUGUGUUGGGCCUCCGUCCUCCUCCCGGGGGACGGGCCCGAAAGGCAGCGGCGGCACCGCGUCCGGUCCUCGAGCGUAUGGGGCUUCGUCACCCGCUCUUGUAGGCCCGGCCGGCGCUUGCCGACACAUCAAUCUUUUUUCCAGGUUGACCCCGGAUCAGGUAGGGAUACCCGCUGAACUUAAGCAUAUCAAUAAGCGGAGGA
rnacentral:misc_RNA from 1 species